AGCAACUCAACCACCGUCUUUCCUCUUUUCUCAUUCCGUAUCAAUUAUCUUUAAGUCAGUUCACCGACAAAACACCAUUUAAAAUCAUGGAGGUCAGUUUGGCAAGCAUUUGAUAAUCAAUGUGACAUUUUCACAACACGUGGCCUCUGUGGUAUUUGUGCUCUCAAUGAAUCUGGUUCUCCAGCAUGCAGAUGUCCAUUUACAGUGAACGGUGAAUCUAACUCGAAAUGUUUGGUUUCAUAUCAACAAAGUUGCGAAUUAGGUGUAUCUUUGAACAUUGUUGUGUAGAAUUUACCCAGUGAAUGAAACGGUUGUACAAACAAGUCUACAAAGAUGUCAGAAUAUGUGCAAUCAAGACAAAAAUUGCACUGCUGUGUCCUUCACAAAUGAUGAAAACCCACCGUGCCACAUUCUGAGAACACAAUACAUCAGUGGUCUUUGGUCGGAAUUUUUUCACGUACUUUGAGGAAGAUUUUGCAAAAUCCUGGUCACAUGACCACAUGGUGGGCCAAGAAAAAGCUCAGCCCAAUGUGGGCCCACUCGAGUGAAUAGAGUAAGCCCACUUGCACUGCCGACUGAUUCGCACACAAUUCUGAAAGAGACACCUGGGGUGAUACGUCACAGUCGAAUAGCUGCUAAUGCGGUGGCGUAGCACGGUGGCCCACCGCCACUUGCCGCCGUGUGUCGUGGAGUUUUGUUUGGUGGUGGACUUUUCGUGUCACGGCACAAUUAUUGUGUUAAGAUCGUAAUCAUACUACUGAUAAUUAUGGCUGCUGAUUAAGCAAUCAUCAUCUCUGUAUUUUUGUUGUAGUUCAUGAAUGUUUGGAAAGACCGUGUUUGGCUGA